GAUGAACGCUGGCGGCAGGCCUAACACAUGCAAGUCGAGCGGGACCUUCGGGUCUAGCGGCGGACGGGUUAGUAACGCGUGGGAACGUGCCCAAAGGUACGGAAUAGCCUCGGGAAACUGAGAGUAAUACCGUAUGUGCCCCUCGGGGGAAAGAUUUAUCGCCUUUGGAUCGGCCCGCGUUGGAUUAGGUAGUUGGUGGGGUAAUGGCCUACCAAGCCGACGAUCCAUAGCUGGUUUGAGAGGAUGAUCAGCAACACUGGGACUGAGACACGGCCCAGACUCCUACGGGAGGCAGCAGUGGGGAAUCUUAGACAAUGGGGGAAACCCUGAUCUAGCCAUGCCGCGUGAGCGAUGAAGGCCUUAGGGUUGUAAAGCUCUUUCGGUGGGGAAGAAAUGGCACGGGUUAAUACCCUGUGUUGAUGACGGUACCCGCAUAAGAAGCACCGGCUAACUACGUGCCAGCAGCCGCGGU
rnacentral:rRNA from 1 species